rnacentral:lncRNA from 1 species
UACGGGUACGGUGGUGCGGGGUAGGGAGAUAGGAGGGCAUAGAGGAGGGUUUGAGUGGUAACGAGUUGCGCGGUGGUUUACGGACGGCCUUUCCGGCAAGCGUCCCUGAAGGAAACCCGAAGAGUCUGGGCGCUGCUUCAGCCACAGCCGCUGCGUGUGGGCUGUUCCGGCUCGCUCUGCCGCUGACCGAAACCCGCAUCGACUGUAUCGUGUGAAAGCUGCAGCAUCGUUACUUGGCCUCAGUCCAAUGAUGUCGGCAACAAAACAAAUGAAGGUGGACCGAUGUCCUACUGAGGAAAUUUCCCUCUCCAACUGUGCAGCUGUAAACCCAGUGGAUUUCUCGGAGGACAAAGUUCGGUAAUGACAUAAGCAGUAUA